GACUGAUUAUGAGCCAACAAUGUGCUCCCAUUGCAAACUGGGCAAACCACAUGCUGGUCUAUGUCAGGACUUUUGUGGCAUGCAGAACAAGGGAGUUACAAUCUCCACUGCUGGGUGUCCAGUUCAUUCAAGAAACUGAAGAAAGAGCAGAGAGCUACCAAGACCAGGAAACAGAACAAAUGUGCUAGAAACAGAGUCUAGGGAGCUGGAAUUAGUCUGGUGAAGAGGAGUCUGAAGGGGAAAUCUAAUAGGAGCCAACAAAUAGGUUGAGCUGGUGGAGCUGUUCUUAGCAGGCAGAUACAUUCUAGGUGUUCCUAUGCCAGCCUGAGAGCUGUGAUGAGUGGCCAGCAGCAGACAAUCUCUGAGUUGCCACCACUACCAAAAAAGGCAACAGACCUCCUAAUCAAGUCAGUUAUGAAAGAGCUCAUUUGCGGGGAGAGGAGGCAAG